UUUUUGUUAGGCCGGGGAGGGAAUCUUUCCACAAUGGACGCCAAGUUGUGGAUGGAGCAACCCCGCGUGAGUGAAGAAAGUGUUUCGGCUAGGAAAAGCUUCUGUUUUUUUAAAGAAGAACGCGGGGGGAGGAGUAACUGUUCACCCAGUGACGGUAUUUAAUCCAAAAAAACCACCGGCUAACUCCGUGCCAGCAGCCCCCGGUAAUAAGUUUGGUGGCAAAGCUUUAUCCGGAUUUUUUGGGCGUAGAGCGAGUGCAGGAGGUCUUUUAAUUCUACAGUGAAAGCCUUAGGCUCAACCGAAGAAGUUCAUUGGAAACUGGGACACUUGAGUGCAGAAGAGGACAGCUGAACCUCAUGCGUAGCGGUGAAACUCGUAGAUAUAUGGAAGACCACCAGUGGCGAAGGCGGCUGUCUGUUUUGCAACUGAUGUUGAGGCUUGACAGCCUCGCUGGCGAACAGGAAUUGAUCCCCUGGUAGAACAUGCCCUAGUUGCCGAUUACAAGUCGGGAGGGUUUCCGCCUUUCCCUGCUGCAUUUAAGGCAUUAAGUAAUCCGCUUUCGGAGCACGAAAUGCAAGGAACAAUUCAAAAGAAUUGACGGGGGCCCUCACAAGCGCUGGAGCAUGUGGUUUAAUUUGAAGCUACGUGUAGAACCUCACCAGGUCAUGCCGUCUUCGGCCAACCUAAGGGGAUAGGCGUUCCCUUCCGGACAGAAGUCAGGCGCUUCACGCUGUUUCUAAUCUUGCUUCAGCA
rnacentral:rRNA from 1 species